rnacentral:rRNA from 1 species
UACGGAGGGGGGCAAGCGUUGUUCGGAAUUACUGGGCGUAAAGGGCGCGCAGGCGGCUGCUCAAGUCAGGCGUGAAAGGCCUGGGCUCAACCCGGGAAUUGCGCUUGAGACUGGGCUGGCUUGAGUGCGGGAGAGGAUGGUGGAAUUCCCAGUGUAGAGGUGAAAUUCGUAGAUAUUGGGAGGAACACCAGUGGCGAAGGCGGCUCACUGGACCGGUACUGACGCUGAUGCGCGAAAGCGUGGGGAGCAAACGGG